rnacentral:rRNA from 1 species
AGAGUUUGAUCCUGGCUCAGAUUGAACGCUGGCGGCAGGCCUAACACAUGCAAGUCGAACGGUAGCACAGAGAGCUUGCUCUCGGGUGACGAGUGGCGGACGGGUGAGUAAUGUCUGGGAAACUGCCUGAUGGAGGGGGAUAACUACUGGAAACGGUAGCUAAUACCGCAUAACGUCGCAAGACCAAAGAGGGGGACCUUCGGGCCUCUUGCCAUCAGAUGUGCCCAGAUGGGAUUAGCUAGUAGGUGGGGUAACGGCUCACCUAGGCGACGAUCCCUAGCUGGUCUGAGAGGAUGACCAGCCACACUGGAACUGAGACACGGUCCAGACUCCUACGGGAGGCAGCAGUGGGGAAUAUUGCACAAUGGGCGCAAGCCUGAUGCAGCCAUGCCGCGUGUAUGAAGAAGGCCUUCGGGUUGUAAAGUACUUUCAGCGGGGAGGAAGGUGUUGUGGUUAAUAACCACAGCAAUGACGUA